rnacentral:lncRNA from 1 species
AUGAGUGAGGUAAUAGCCCAGGAGGUUAGGGGAACUGCUGACCUGAUACUUGGGGUGACGUGUCCCAACUCAGGGCUGGUGCCCAGAUGGUGGUGGAUGGGCCUUCCAGUGAGUGUUCCUGUGGCCUUGGGGCACACUGAAGGUUUUUGUUAGAUUCGACAAGCACAAUGACCAAAGGGAAAAAGGAAUGAACUGGACUUCAUAAAAAUUAACAACUUAUGCCAGCAAAAGUGUGAACAAACUACACACCCUGUAUACAGUGUUUUGUGAAUAGCCUGAGGGAGGAUCGGGGUGGGGGGGACGAGGGCCUCCAUGUUCUAGUUUUUAUUUUUUUUUUAAAGAUUUUAUUUAUCAUGAGAGACACACAGAGAGGCAGAGACACAGGCAGAGGGAGAAGCAGGUUCCAUGCAGGGAGCCCGAUGUGGGACUCGAUCCCGGGUCUCCAGGAUCACACCCUGGACUGAAGGUCGUGCUAAACCACUGGGCCACCGGGGCUGCCCCCAUGUUCUAGUAUGUGAAGAGCAAGCCUGCUCAUAGACCAGAAGGACCCAGAGAGCCCAGAUUGUCCACCCCGGACCACAGGGUGGGGGGAUUGGUCAUCACAUGUCAGGGUCAUGUACCUAGGACAGGCUGAAAAGGUCAUGGCUUGAGUCUCCCCUGCACAGAAGAGGGCUCACAGUGGAGUAGGGGUCUCGGAUGAGCUGCCCUAGCCCUGACAGCAGCCUCCUUCCCUGGCCUGGGGCAGCAGGGAGGCAGCUCUGACCCCAUGGAGCGGUGGAACGGCUCCAGGAGCUGCCUCAUGGGCAUCACACGGGGGUCAGUGCAUUCUCACCCUAACCCAGGAUGCCAGCACCCCUACUGGGACCCUCAGGUGCCACAGUGAACCGAGGUGUGCAGGGAGAAACUCUACUCACCUGUGACCUGUCGCUGUGUGAGUACCUACACUUUAUACACUGGGGUACUGGGUAGAGUGGGAUAGUUCGGGCACUGUGAGCCAGAUCCAGAGCACGAGUGCCUCCCACUGCCUGAGAAUGCAGAGUAGCGCCAGGCAGCAGUGGAACCCUGGGGCGGCACAGUUCCGCCCACAAUGGGGUCCCGUGUCAUCACUGUAGGUCGGGGGGCCAGUCAGUACUAAGCCCGGCACCCUGAAGGCCAAGGGUGCGUGGGGAGGUCCUGUCUCACGCCGGAUGGGAAGGGGUUGCAGGCACCCUCCCACAUCCUUAGUUCCCACCUUCAGGCCCUCCUGGCCUCCCACCCUUCUAGGUAGACUGGGUGUCCCAGCUGUCCUCCCACCCCCAAGGGUUCACAGCAUGGAUUUUGCACUUAAGAACAUUUGAGGGGCUCCUGGGUGGUUCAGUCAGCUAAACAUCUACUCUUGAUUAUGGCUCAGUUCAGGAACUGAGGUUGUGGUGUGGAGCCUCAGGUGGGGCUCGGCCCCGGCAGCAGGGGGAAUCUGCUUCAGAGUCUCCCUUACCCUCUGCCCCUCUCACUGCAUGCUCUCUCAAAUCUUUUAAAAAUCAACAUUGAAGACAUUUGAGAAAUCUUUAUCAUCUCUGCAGAGGUGCUUUCAUAUGUAUAAUGGCUGUGUAAAUGCUUUUUUUUUAAAUUUUCAUUUCUCUGGAAUAAAUUCCCAGGAGUGCUAUUGCUGAAUUAUGUGUUAAUUGUAUGCAAAACUUUUUUUGGACAAAACUGCUAAACUCUUUCCCAGGAGUGAAUGUAAGAUUCUAGAAAAACUGUGUGGAAACUGUUUUUUCCAAGCAGUUGUCUAGAUACUAGAAGUGUGCCUGCCAGAACUUCAGGUGAGAUUUAUUUAGCCUUGGAAAAAGUUGUUAAACUAUCUUCCAAAGCAACCAUAUUUUUAUCUGCAGCAUGAAGGAGCUUUCCUGUCAUAUGCCACCCUCCAGCAACUAGUAUCCUCAUUUUGGGAGGUUUAACAUUUCUAGGGGCGCCUGGGUGGCUCAGCUGCUCCGACGUUUGUGUGGCUUUGUUGCUUAAGUGUCUGCCUUUGGCUCAGGUCAUGAUCCCUGGGUCCUGGGAUGGAGCCACCAUAGGGCUCCUGCUCUGGGGGAGUCUGCUUCUGUCUCCCUCUGCCUACCUCUACCCCUACUUGCUUGCUCACUCUCUGUCAAAUAAGAAAAAUUGAAAAAAUAAGUCAAUCGGAGAAGGACAAACAUUAUAUGGUCUCAUUCAUUUGGGGAAUAUCAAAAAAGGUGGAAGGGAAUAAAAGGGGAAAGGAGAGAAAAUGAGUGGGAAAUAUCAGAAAGGGAGACAGAACGUGAAAGACUCCUAACUCUGGGGAAUGAACUAGGGGUGGUGGAAGGGGAGGUGGUGGGGGUGGGGGUGACUGGGUGACGGGCACUGAGGUGGGCACUUGACGGGAUGAGCACUGGGUGUUAUUCUGUAUUUGGCAAAUUGAACACCAAUAAAAAGUAAAUUUAUAAUAA